rfam:Parcubacteria (Azambacteria) bacterium GW2011_GWA1_44_9 TW78_C0020, whole genome shotgun sequence.
GCCGCGGUGGUGGAAUGGUAGACACGAAGGCCUUAAGAGCCUUUGUCCUUAACAGACGUGAGCGUUCGAAUCGCUCCCGCGGCA